rnacentral:rRNA from 1 species
GAGCGAGAUCUUCGGAUCUAGCGGCGGACGGGUGAGUAACGCGUGGGAACGUGCCUCUUGCUACGGAAUAGCCCUGGGAAACUGGGAGUAAUACCGUAUGUGCCCUUCGGGGGAAAGAUUUAUCGGCAAGAGAUCGGCCCGCGUUGGAUUAGGUAGUUGGUGGGGUAAUGGCCUACCAAGCCGACGAUCCAUAGCUGGUUUGAGAGGAUGAUCAGCCACACUGGGACUGAGACACGGCCCAGACUCCUACGGGAGGCAGCAGUGGGGAAUCUUAGACAAUGGGCGCAAGCCUGAUCUAGCCAUGCCGCGUGAGCGAUGAAGGCCUUAGGGUUGUAAAGCUCUUUCAGCGAGGAAGAUAAUGACUGUACUCGCAGAAGAAGCCCCGGCUAACUCCGUGCCAGCAGCCGCGGUAAUACGGAGGGGGCUAGCGUUGUUCGGAAUUACUGGGCGUAAAGCGCACGUAGGCGGACUGGAAAGUCAGGGGUGAAAUCCCGGGGCUCAACCCCGGAACUGCCUUUGAAACUCCCAGUCUUGAGUUCGAGAGAGGUGAGUGGAAUUCCGAGUGUAGAGGUGAAAUUCGUAGAUAUUCGGAGGAACACCAGUGGCGAAGGCGGCUCACUGGCUCGAUACUGACGCUGAGGUGCGAAA